GACGAACCGUGCGAACGUUGUUCGGAAUCACUGGGCUUAAAGGGCGCGUAGGCGGGCCGUCCAGUCAGGGGUGAAAUCCUCCAGCUUAACUGGAGAACAGCUUUUGAUACUGACGGCCUCGAGGGGGGUAGGGGCAUGUGGAACUUCCGGUGGAGCGGUGAAAUGCGUAGAUAUCGGAAGGAACGCCGGUGGCGAAAGCGGCUUCCUGGUCCAGCACCGACGUUCAGGCACGAAAGCGUGGGGAGCAAACAGG
rnacentral:rRNA from 1 species